AAAUAGAAAAGGGAGUAAGAGUUAUUGGACUUGCAUUAUGAGUAGGUAAUGAAGUUGACAUCAGGAUUCAAUGAUCAAGGAAUGGCCACAUAGAUUUUUUCUUUCAUUUCGUCUAUGAACUGGAAAUUAAUAGGCACGUCUCCAAGACUUCUUCGUUAUCAAUGUCCCACAAACAACCCAAAACCCCACGGCAUUUCACAAUCAUCUUCAUCCUCGACCUCAUCAUUCUUGAUUUCUGGUGCUUCAUUACCAGGCGUUGAACAUUUGGUUGGUAAUGGAGACCCGCAAAGUCAUAUAUAGAUGGAUCAUCGAAGGUUUGGAAUUGGUUGGCUGAUGGAAUUGGUCCUGAUAAGUUAUUGCGGGACAGAUUCAGGUGAUUCAAGAAAGUCAUGGAAGACAUGCUCGGAGGAAUAAGACCUGAAAGAUAAUUGUUUGAGAGAUCAACAAUUUCUAACAGAUGUAGGCUUCCAAUCUUGUCAGGAAUCUUUCCAGUCAAUUGAUUCCGAGAUAAAUUCGAAGUACCCAAGUAUGUGUGAUUAGCUAUCUCUUCUGGGAUUUCUCCCUCCCAAGUAUGUGAGAUUAGCUAUCUCUUCUGGGAUUUCUCCCUUUAAAUUAUUUCAUGUCUUUGCAGUAAGGAUUGCAUGUUCCUGUUGUGUGGGGACGGAUAAUAAGAAAGAAAUGGCAAAUAAUGAGCGAGCAUUAUCUAUAUCAGUUCAUUAGAUGCUAGGAGAUCUCUAUCUUCUACUCUUAUCUUGUUAUGUUUUUCUGCUUUCACAAUUCAUCUAACUGUUUUUUCUUUUUUUAAUGUAUGAUUUGCUUGCCAUCAUUUUUUGUGCCUGACAAAGUCAUACAGUUGGCCAUUUUCCUUGCAGAUAUAAUAAUUUUAUUUCAUAUUGGCCAGCUGAGCUGCAUACGGCUGUUCCAAGCCGACCAUUCUUUCCUAGGGGAUUUUCAUGGGAUGAAGGUUUUCAUCAACUGUUGAUCUGGCGUUGGGAUAUCCGAAUAUGUGUGGAUAUUUUUGGCCACUGGUUAGAUUUAAUGAACAUUGAUGGAUGGAUUCCACGUGAGCAAAUUUUGGGCUCUGAAGCUCUAAGAGUGUUUGCCAGAUUCAUCCUCGAAGAAAUUCUGCAAUGUCUUUUCUGCUGCAAUUGCAGCAAGGUUCCAGAGGAAUUUGUUGUUCAGCGCCGAACUAACGGAAAUCCCCCCACCUUAUUUUUGGUUUUUAGUGAUAAGGCUUUCUGAGAUUUCAUUUUGAUGUUCAUAUCCCUUUAUGGUACAAAAUUUGCUGCUUCUUUAUUGUGUGAUAGAAUGACUUCAGCUCUGCAAGUCACAAGUAGAUGUGUAAUUCGAAGAGACCAACACCCUAUCCUUCUAAAUGUCAAGAAAAUUCUUCUGAUUUAAUGAGAAGUCAUCAUCCUUAAAGGUACAAAUCCUGCAACAAUGAAGAAACUUACCUUCUUCCGUCUCGUAUACUAGAUUCUGGGGUUGUUCAAACAAGUUAUUUUCAUUGUCCUAUAAUAUAUGAUGUGCUUCUCUAUGUGCACUUGGAUUUGUUGUUUGCUUUCUCCCCUACCCUGGUAACUACAACAAUUACAUGCUUCUUUAAAAUUGCUGCUCAGUUUAGCUGUUGAUAUGAAGGAAAAGAUAAAUAUGCCCAUAGCUUUCCAAAUAUUGAAACUCGUUCAUGACAAAUUCUUUCAAGGUGCUGACACGCUGAGAUGUGUAUUAAGACAUACUUUUAAAUGCAAGGUGCUUACUUUGGGUGAUUUGUCAUCGUGGAUGCAAGGAGAGAGAUGAGCAGCUACUGUUGGCACGGGAGAGAUGAUAGAGCGACUCCUCAGCUUGCAAUUCCUCACAAAAGCAUCAAUCACACUACAUAAGCUUGCACAUGGUUGAACUACAAGCUAUUCUUAACAAUCCACGAAAUAAAGAGCCCUAUUAGGGAAACUCCUUCAGACCCUGGCUCCGACAGGUGUGAGCUUUACCCUCCUCCAUUGAUCAAUUGAAUCCCCCUCGACGAUUGAGUGGCAGCUGACAUGAUCCAUUUGGUGAUGACACCAUCACUCCUGAUGAUGAUUUCACAAACAGGCCCCCUAGCAAAUUUAAGCCAUCGAGGAUUGAUGAGGAGGGGAUAGUGAAGAUGGAGGGAGAGAAUUUGAGUAUGGUUUAUGACAACUCUUGUCAGAGUUGGACUGUAUUAAUCACAGAUCACUUGCUAACUGAACCAGUGACAAAAUUGCAGCUUGUCAAGGAAUUAAUCAGCAAGUGCUCCUCGUAUCUCUAGCUCAA